AUAUUAAUUUUAAAAAAU
rnacentral:sRNA from 1 species